rnacentral:rRNA from 1 species
UACGUAGGGGGCUAGCGUUGUCCGGAAUCAUUGGGCGUAAAGAGCGUGUAGGCGGCCCGGUAAGUCCGCUGUGAAAGUCGGGGGCUCAACCCUCGAAUGCCGGUGGAUACUGUCGGGCUAGAGUGCGGAAGAGGCGAGUGGAAUUCCUGGUGUAGCGGUGAAAUGCGCAGAUAUCAGGAGGAACACCUAUUGCGAAGGCAGCUCUCUGGGACGGUACUGACGCUGAGACGCGAAAGCGUGGGGAGCGAACAGG